GGAUGAACGCUGGCGGCGUGCUUAACACAUGCAAGUCGAACGGAAAGGCCCAAGCUUGCUUGGGUACUCGAGUGGCGAACGGGUGAGUAACACGUGGGUGAUCUGCCCUGCACUUCGGGAUAAGCCUGGGAAACUGGGUCUAAUACCGGAUAGGACGAUGGUUUGGAUGCCAUUGUGGAAAGUUUUUUCGGUGUGGGAUGAGCUCGCGGCCUAUCAGCUUGUUGGUGGGGUAAUGGCCUACCAAGGCGUCGACGGGUAGCCGGCCUGAGAGGGUGUACGGCCACAUUGGGACUGAGGUACGGCCCAGACUCCUACGGGAGGCAGCAAUGGGGAAUAUUGCACAAUGGGCGCAAGCCUGAUGCAGCGACGCCGCGUGGGGGAUGACGGCCUUCGGGUUGUAAACUCCUUUCGCUAGGGACGAAGCGUUUUUGUGACGGUACCUGGAGAAGAAGCACCGGCUAACUACGUG
rnacentral:rRNA from 1 species